GACGAACGCUGGCGGCGUGCUUAACACAUGCAAGUCGAACGGAAAGGCCCUGCUUUUGUGGGGUGCUCGAGUGGCGAACGGGUGAGUAACACGUGAGUAACCUGCCCUUGACUUUGGGAUAACUUCAGGAAACUGGGGCUAAUACCGGAUAGGAGCUCCUGCUGCAUGGUGGGGGUUGGAAAGUUUCGGCGGUUGGGGAUGGACUCGCGGCUUAUCAGCUUGUUGGUGGGUUAGUGGCUUACCAAGGCUUUGACGGGUAGCCGGCCUGUGAGGGUGACCGGCCACAUUGGGACUGAGAUACGGCCCAGACUGCUACGGGAGGAAGCAGUGGGGAAUAUUGCACAAUGGGCGGAAGCCUGAUGCAGCAACGCCGCGUGCGGGAUGACGGCCUUCGGGUUGUAAACCGCUUUCGCCUGUGACGAAGCGUGAGUGACGGUAAUGGGUAAAGAAGCACCGGCUAACUACGUG
rnacentral:rRNA from 1 species